GACGAACGCUGGCGGCGUGCUUAACACAUGCAAGUCGAACGGAAAGGCCCUGCUUUUGUGGGGUGCUCGAGUGGCGAACGGGUGUGUAACACGUGAGUAACCUGCCCUUGACUUUGGGAUAACUUCAGGAAACUGGGGCUAAUACCGGAUAGGAGCUCCUGCUGCAUGGUGGGGGUUGGACAGUUUCGGCGGUUGGGGAUGGACUCGCGGCUUAUCAGCUUGUUGGUGGGGUAGUGGCUUACCAAGGCUUUGACGGGUAGCCGGCCUGAGAGGGUGAACGGCCACAUUGGGACUGAGGUACGGCCCAGAGUCCUACGGGAGGCAGCAGUGGGGAAUAUUGCACAAUGGGCGGAAGCCUGAUGCAGCAACGCCGCGUGCGGGAUGACGGCCUUCGGGUUGUAAACCGCUUUCGCCUGUGACGAAGCGUGAGUGACGGUAAUGGGUAAAGAAGCACCGGCUAACUACGUG
rnacentral:rRNA from 1 species